GGCCUCCGGGUGCGGGGUGGGGGCAGGCUCUGACCUGGGGCGUCCUGGCCGCGUGAGCCGCGGGAUGGGGGCCCGGGCCCCGGAGGAGGCGCCGCUGUUGUGUUCCUUGGUGGAGAGGGCGCUGCCGGCCCUGCGCGGUUUCCAGCCAGGAAGCUUCGGGAAGCCUGGUGCGAGGACGUCUGCUCACUGGAAACGACACGUGCGUGGGGUGUUGGGAAGGAGGUGACUUCGCCUGUGAUGGACUUCCAGUGUGAGCACUGGCCAGAGUGACCAGGCCGACCAGCACCAGCCCUGAUCCAGACGCAGAGGCCAAGAUGUGGGCCCAGCCCUGUGCCAGAAGGCUGGCUGGAAUAAAGGUACAGAUACAGGCCUCACCCCCUCUGGGACCACUGGCACUCAGGGUGUUUGCAGCCUGAGCCCAGCUUUCCAGAAGCCCACCUGCCCCCAGGGCCACAGCUGCAGCUCCUGCUCUGCUGUCAUUACAGGGAUGGGCAGGCUGGCAUGGGGACACCCGCUGCCCCUGCCUGGGUAGUGCUGUGUAUUUCCGCCGGCCAGGGGCCACUGCCAGGACCACCCCUCCAUUUUCAUAUCCCGAUUCUUAAGUUCUGCCAUUGUGGUAUUCUGGUGGAAAAAAAAGAACCGCUUGGCUGUUUUUGAACUGUCUGGAACCUAAGAUCCCGAAUCCCCCCCCCGCCCCCCCGCAGGGGGAAAAUCUAUAUGGAAAACAUUUAUUUUAAAAUACAGGAUGAAGUGAAUUAAAAGAUUUAAAUGCACAUUUCUUUAAGGAUAGUAUUUCUGUGUUGGCAAAAUUUGAGAAUAAAUUGGUCUUGAAUG
rnacentral:lncRNA from 1 species